AUCGGCGACCGGCGCACGGGUGAGUAACGCGUAUCCAACCUGCCCUUUACUAUGGGACAGCCCGUCGAAAGGCGGAUUAAUACCGUAUGUUGUCAUGUUGAUGCAUAUUUUCAUGACCAAAGGCUUCGGCCGGUAAAGGAUGGGGAUGCGUCUGAUUAGCUUGCCGGCGGGGUAACGGCCCACCGGGGCGACGAUCAGUAGGGGUUCUGAGAGGAAGGUCCCCCACAUUGGAACUGAGACACGGUCCAAACUCCUACGGAAGGCAGCAG
rnacentral:rRNA from 1 species